rnacentral:rRNA from 1 species
GUAGACCCGUGAUCCGGGUUGCGGACAGUGUCUGGUGGGUAGUUUGACUGGGGCGGUCUCCUCCCAAAGAGUAACGGAGGAGCACGAAGGUUGGCUAAUCCUGGUCGGACAUCAGGAGGUUAGUGCAAUGGCAUAAGCCAGCUUGACUGCGAGCGUGACGGCGCGAGCAGGUGCGAAAGCAGGUCAUAGUGAUCCGGUGGUUCUGAAUGGAAGGGCCAUCGCUCAACGGAUAAAAGGUACUCCGGGGAUAACAGGCUGAUACCGCCCAAGAGUUCAUAUCGACGGCGGUGUUUGGCACCUCGAUGUCGGCUCAUCACAUCCUGGGGCUGAAGUAGGUCCCAAGGGUAUGGCUGUUCGCCAUUUAAAGUGGUACGCGAGCUGGGUUUAGAACGUCGUGAGACAGUUCGGUCCCUAUCUGCCGUGGGCGCUGGAGAAUUGAGGGGGGCUGCUCCUAGUACGAGAGGACCGGAGUGGACGCAUCACUGGUGUUCGGGUUGUCAUGCCAAUGGCACUGCCCGGUAGCUAAAUGCGGAAGAGAUAAGUGCUGAAAGCAUCUAAGCACGAAACUUGCCCC